rnacentral:rRNA from 1 species
UAAGUCGACCGCCUGGGGAGUACGGCCGCAAGGUUAAAACUCAAAUGAAUUGACGGGGGCCCGCACAAGCGGUGGAGCAUGUGGUUUAAUUCGAUGCAACGCGAAGAACCUUACCUGGUCUUGACAUCCACGGAAGUUUUCAGAGAUGAGAAUGUGCCUUCGGGAACCGUGAGACAGGUGCUGCAUGGCUGUCGUCAGCUCGUGUUGUGAAAUGUUGGGUUAAGUCCCGCAACGAGCGCAACCCUUAUCCUUUGUUGCCAGCGGUCCGGCCGGGAACUCAAAGGAGACUGCCAGUGAUAAACUGGAGGAAGGUGGGGAUGACGUCAAGUCAUCAUGGCCCUUACGACCAGG